UUAAAUGAUAUUUUGAAAGUUUA
rnacentral:snRNA from 1 species